rnacentral:tRNA from 1 species
GGAGACGAAGCUCAAUUGGUAGAGUGUUUGCCUAGAAAGCAAAAGGCCUAGAUUUGACUCUU